CACUUCCUCAACAUGUUCCGUCGUGUCUUCGUCCUCAUCGCUAUCCUUCUCCAAAUCUUCAUCGCCUCUGCCGAUCACGUUACCAUCAAGGCUCCAGUUGCCACGUGCAAGGUUGAUAAGGACUGAUUAUUCUUUGUUUGAAUAAAUGAGAGCAUUC
ensembl:lincRNA linc-1 ncRNA